rnacentral:rRNA from 1 species
CUACGGGGGGCUCCAGUAGGGAAUUUUGCGCAAUGGGCGAAAGCCUGACGCAGCAACACCGCGUGAGUGAAGAAGCCCUUUGGGGUGUAAAGCUCUGUCAGUGGGGACGAAGUUCUGACGGUACCCACAGAGGAAGCAUCGGCUAACUACGUGCCAGCAGCCGCGGUAAGACGUAGGAUGCAAGCGUUGUCCGGAAUUAUUGGGCGUAAAGAGUUCGUAGGCGGCAUAUCAAGUCUGGUGUUAAAUACUGAGGCUCAACCUCAGCUCGGCACUGGAUACUGGUAAGCUAGAAUAUAGUAGGGGCAAGGGGAAUUCCUGGUGUAGCGGUGAAAUGCGUAGAUAUCAGGAGGAACACCGGUGGCGAAGGCGCCUUGCUGGGCUAUUAUUGACGCUGAGGAACGAAAGCUAGGGUAGCAAAUGGGAUUAGAUACCCUCGUAGUC